UACGGGGGGAGCAAGCGUUGUUCGGAUUUACUGGGCGUAAAGGGCGCGUAGGCGGCCACCGCAAGUCAGUUGUGAAAGCUCUGGGCUUAACCCAGAAAGGUCAGCUGAUACUGCGGGGCUAGAGCGCAGAAGGGGCAACUGGAAUUCUCGGUGUAGCGGUGAAAUGCGUAGAUAUCGAGAGGAACACCUGCGGCGAAGGCGGGUUGCUGGGCUGACACUGACGCUGACAGCGCGAAAGCUAGGGGAGCGAACGGG
rnacentral:rRNA from 1 species